UGUCUAGGCAAUCCCUUUGCCGCUCCUGAUCUGAUCUUGAAGCCUUGCCUCCAUCACUCCAUGGUUAGGCUCGCUGCUAAAGCCUUCCCUCAUUUUCCCCUGCUGAAAAUCCUCCAUCCGCGGCUCCGCCCUUUUGUUUAUGUUCUUUACUCCGGGAAAAUUGCUUGAUUUUAUAUAUAAUGUAUUAUCAUUUGAUUUUUUGUUGAUUAGUAUUGUUUUUUUUCUCAAAUUUUCUGUUGCAGCCCAAUGAUGGAAAAAAUUGUUAAUAUUGAGGGGAUUGACAAGGUUUAAAAUUCAACGGUUGCCUUUGCACUUCACCGGAAAAAUUAGCCGCCACCCACCUCUGUCCAGGCAAUCCUUUUGCGCCGCUCCUGAUCUGAUCUUGAAGCCUUGCCUCUAUGGUUAGACUCGCUGCUAAAGCCUUCCCUCAUUUUCCCCUACUGAAAAUCCUCCCUCGGCGGCUCCGCCCUUUUGUUUAUGUUCUUUACUCCGGGAAAAUUGCUUGAUUUUAUACACACACACACACACACAUUGGUGCGUGGCUUGGCUGGUUUUUUUGUCGGUGAUCUGUAAAAGGCAUCUGUUGAAUUACCUGUCAAAUUCCGUCUAUGAUUCAUUGAAGCUAUGAGAUCUGAGGGCUUCUUAUGAAAUAUGUUUGAAAUUUUUUGCGUUUUUGGGAUAUUUAUUGCUUUAGUUUCUUAUUUAGUUGUGGUGGCUUUCAAGCAUUUGAUUCUUUUUGGUUUUUUAUAUAAUUGAGAUUAUUUAUUCUUUUCAUGUAUAUCUAUUAAAUAAUUCUUGAUUUUUGCCCAGUGACAAAAAUUUUGUGGCAAAAGAGCAGUUCUUUUGGUUGCUAUUUAUUGUUAGCCUUUUG
rnacentral:lncRNA from 1 species